UUUCCGUAGGUGAACCUGCGGAAGGAUCAUUAACGAGUUCAUGCCCUUCGGGGUAGACCUCCCACCCUUGUGUAUUUAUACCUUUGUUGCUCUGGCAGGCCGCUGGCUCUGCCAGCUACCGGCUUCGGCUGGUGAGUGCUUGCCAGAGGAAUCCAAACUCUGAAUGUUAAUGUCGUCUGAGUGCUAUAUAAUAGUUAAAACUUUCAACAACGGAUCUCUUGGUUCUG
rnacentral:misc_RNA from 1 species